UACGGGGGGGGCAAGCGUUGUUCGGAAUUACUGGGCGUAAAGGGCUCGUAGGCGGCCCACUAAGUCCGACGUGAAAUCCCCAGGCUUAACUUGGGAACUGCGUCGGAUACUGGUGGGCUUGAAUCCGGGAGAGGGAUGCGGAAUUCCAGGUGUAGCGGUGAAAUGCGUAGAUAUCGGAAGGAACGCCGGUGGCGAAGGCGACGUGCUGGACCUCUUCUGACGCUGAGGCGCGAAAGCCAGGGGAGCAAACGGG
rnacentral:rRNA from 1 species